GCCUGGCUGGCUCAGUCGGUAGAGCAUGCGACUCUUGAUCUCGGGGCCAUGAGUUCGAGCCUCGUGUUGGGCA